UGGGGGAUAUUGCACAAUGGGCGAAAGCCUGAUGCAGCGACGCCGCGUGGGGGAUGAAGGCCUUCGGGUUGUAAACUUGUUUUGCUCUGAACAAGGCAUGCGAAUGGGUGUGUUGAGUGUAGGGGUUGAUUAGCGCCGGCUAACUACGUGCCAGCAGCCGCGGUAAUACGUAGGGCGCGAGCGUUGUCCGGAAUUAUUGGGCGUAAAGGGCUUGUAGGUGGCUGGUUGCGUCUGUCGUGAAAGCUCAUGGCUUAACUGUGGGUUUGCGGUGGGUACGGGCUGGCUUGAGUGCAGUAGGGGAGGCUGGAAUUCCUGGUGUAGCGGUGGAAUGCGCAGAUAUCAGGAGGAAUACCGGUGGCGAAGGCGGGUCUCUGGGCUGUUGCUGACGCUGAGGAGCGAAAGCAUGGAGAGCGAACAGG
rnacentral:rRNA from 1 species